rnacentral:rRNA from 1 species
GACGUAGGGGGCCAGCGUUGUUCGGAAUUACUGGGUGUAAAGGGUUCGUAGGCGGUGUAGCAAGUCGGGGAGUGAAAUCUCUGGGCUUAACCCAGAGGCUGCUUCCGAAACUGCUGUGCUUGAGUGUGGGAGAGGCGCGUGGAAUUGCAGGUGUAGCGGUGAAAUGCGCAGAUAUCAGGAGGAACACCGGUGGCGAAGGCGGGUCUCUGGGCCGAUACUGACGCUGAGGAGCGAAAGCGUGGGGAGCGAACAGG